CACAUCCUUUGCCGGUUGUAUUAAUAUCUUGUUUAGCAUAAGCUACACAAGAACAGUUCUUCAAGCACUCUGCCUCACACUCCUCAAAACUCAUGGUUGAGUUUGUGUGAAACACAGAAGAAUCUGGUAGUUUCACUCCUUCUUGGCUCAAAUCCAUCCAAACACUUGCAAAUUGGGGAUUCUUUUAUGCCACAACUACCAUUGGCACCACAAAUGGCGUAAUCAUCACAGCGAUCUCCUUGAACUGUAAAAUCUGGGAUCCAACUGGAAUGAGGAUCACUCCACGAGAAGUGCUGAAUCAUACCAGAUUGAGUAAGUACAAAUCUUGAAGUGACACUGUCCUUAACUUCAUACGUGAAAAUCACUUCAUCAGAAUCAAAAAUAAAAACAGGUUUGAAAACUGGGUUUUCCAUAAGAGCUGGGUCACCUUUGAGUUGUUGUGCAAACCAUGGUCCACUUCUGAAGACCUUCUCUUUCCCUUUAAGAAGAAGAAGCUGAGGAAGGCCACGUGGAUCCACACUAUACGUAUACUCUCCAGAAGAAGGAUCAUCAUGUCUUUUCCAAGAGGUUAAAUGUCUGUUCAACCCAGUUUUGAAGUUCCAACCAAGUCUCAUUCCCGGAAUAAAUGUAUCAGUUGGAUGAUCAAAACUCUCCCAUCUGUAGCUCUCAGAGCUUUCAUCUUCAAGAUCUCUGAAGACGAAAUUUCCAGAGUCUAGAAGCUGAGCUACUGGUUUCCUUGCUGAUCUGGAUGAGUUCGCAGCCCAUAUGAUACCUCCUGUAUGGCUGAGAAUGAUAAGCUUACCGUCAUUGCUGAAUUUUAAAGUGCCAGUAGAAUUCACAAGUGGAUUGUCCCUGUUUGCAACCCAAACAACAGUAAGCUUUGGGAUAUACUUGUACCAUAUUCCCAGAUAUUUCAAACUGGAAUUGCCAGGACUGAAGAAACCAAGUUCAAAUUUUUCACCAGAGGAAACUAGUGUCUGGCUAUCAGUGAUGGAAUGCGUUGAAGUUAUGGAAUCCUUUGCUUUCAAAACUGUUGGAAACAAGGAUAUCAAACAAAAAGAAGUGCCAAGAAAGAAGAGGGUGAAGAACUUUGUUUCCUCCAUGAGAAUUUUUAACCUUCAUUCUGCUUCUUAAGAGGAAAAAUUCAUCUUUUUACUGUUUCUAUUCCAAAAGCUGUUGUGGAAGGAUCCAUGCCUUUUAAGUGGACUCGUCAAGAUCGAGGGGAAAAAAGGUCUUCAGUUGGAGCAGGUAUAACUCGUGGGCCCUGUCUACUUUCUGGAAGACAAAUAGAUGGAAAAUAACACCAUUUUAUCAAGAGGGAAAUCAAGACCUUCUUCCCUUGAAGAAGAAGCUGAGGAGGCCACGUGGGUCCACAUGACGCGUAUACUCUCCAGAAGAAGGAUCAUCAUGUCUUUUCCAGAGGUUAAAUGUCUGUUCAACCCAGUUUUGAAGUUCCAACCAAGUCUCAUUCCCGGAAUAAAUGUAUCAGUUGGAUGAUCAAAACUCUUCCAUCCGUAGCUCUCAGAGCUUUCAUCUUCAAGGUCUCUCAAGACGAAUUUCCAGAGUCUAGAAGCUGAGCUACUGGUUUCCUUGCUGAUCUGGAUGAGUUCGCAGCCCAUGUGAUACCUCCUCUAUGACUGAAAAUGAUAAGCUUACCGUCAUUGCUGAAUGUUAAAGUGCCAGUAGAAUUCACAAGUGGAUUGUCCCUGUUUGCAACCCAAACAACAGUAAGCUUUGGGAUAUACUUGUACCAUAUUCCCAGAUGUUUCAAACUGGAAUUGCCAGGACUGAAGAAAUCAAGUUCAAAUUUUUCACCAGAGGAAACUAGUGUCUGGCUAUCAGUGAUGGAAUGCGUUGAAGUUAUGGAAUCCUUUGCUUUCAAAACUGUUGGAAAACAAGGAUAUCAAACAAAAAAAGUGCCAAGAAAGAAGAGGGUGAAGAACUUUGUUUCCUCCAUGAGAAUUUUUAACCUUCAUUCUGCUUCUUAGGAGGAAAAAUUCAUCUUUUUACUGUUUCUAUUUCAAAAGCUGUUGUGGAAGGAUCUAUGCUUUUUAAGUGGACUAGUUAAUAUCGAGGGGAAAAAAGGUCUUCGGUUGGAGCAGGUAUAACUCGAGGGCCCUGUCUACUUUUUGGAAGACAAAUAGGAUGGACUAUAACACCAUUUUAUGAAGAGGGAAAAUCAAGGAGUUUAAGAAAUGCACGGGGGUUGGCGAAUAGCAUAUCUUGAUACAGAUUUUGAUUAUAUAUUACAGUCAAAACUUCGAAGAGUGGAAGUGGGUUGACGUCAUCAUUACAAUUUACAAGUAUUAGUGUAUGGAUACAUUACUUCACUCUCUCUGUGUGAUUCACUUGCUACUAAUCACCAAGUACAUUUUUCUUUGGGGCCAGGAAUCACCGUGUACAUUGAGAAUAACCUUUAUCAUAAUUUUUCAUGAAUCAUUAUUCCUGCUUGAAGUCAUGUACUAGGGUAAGUUCCAAAAUCCAAAAGUACAUGAUUGUGUUCCGUUAUUGAGCAUUUCUGUCUUUUCUUGUCUGUUUCGGAGGUUGAUAUAAAAAAAAAAAAACCAUGAAUGAAAUAGAAAUAGAAUUAGUUUACUACUAAUUAUUAACCCUACAGGGAUAAAUCAGAC